UGGGGAAUCUUGCACAAUGGGCGAAAGCCUGAUGCAGCGACGCCGCGUGCGGGAAGAAGGCCUUCGGGUUGUAAACCGCUUUCAGGAGGGACGAAGCCACUCGGGUUAAUAGCCCAGAGGGUGACGGUACCUCCAGAAGAAGCCCCGGCUAACUACGUGCCAACAGCCGCGGUAAUACGUAGGGGGCAAGCGUUGUCCGGAUUUAUUGGGCGUAAAGAGCGUGUAGGCGGCCAAACAGGUCGGUUGUGAAAACUGGAGGCUUAACCUCCAGACGUCGACCGAAACCGUAUGGCUAGAGUCCGGAAGAGGAGAGUGGAAUUCCUGGUGUAGCGGUGAAAUGCGCAGAUAUCAGGAAGAACACCCGUGGCGAAGGCGGCUCUCUGGGACGGUACUGACGCUGAGACGCGAAAGCGUGGGGAGCGAACAG
rnacentral:rRNA from 1 species